rnacentral:rRNA from 1 species
UACGUAGGGCGCAAGCGUUGUCCGGAAUUAUUGGGCGUAAAGAGCUCGUAGGCGGCUUGUCACGUCGAUUGUGAAAGCCCGAGGCUUAACCUCGGGUCUGCAGUCGAUACGGGCUAGCUAGAGUGUGGUAGGGGAGAUCGGAAUUCCUGGUGUAGCGGUGAAAUGCGCAGAUAUCAGGAGGAACACCGGUGGCGAAGGCGGGUUUGCUGGGCUGAUACUGACGCUGAGGCGCGAAAGCCAGGGGAGCGAACGGGGAUUAGAAAACCC